AGAAUCAAGAAACGUAUUGGUUCCUUUGUAGGUUAAUUGGGAAGUAUGGUUCGCUUUUUGUUUAUUAAUGAAACGUUAUUCCAUCGCUGCCACCGCAACGGUAAUGAAAAAUAGUGGUAUUUUUUAAGCCCGGAGACCAGCCAAUACCCUUCAGUUAUU
rnacentral:ncRNA from 2 species